UACGAAGGAUCCAAGCGUUAUCCGGAUUUAUUGGGUUUAAAGGGUGCGUAGGCGGCUUAUUAAGUCAGUGGUGAAAGCCUGAAGCUUAACUGCAGAACUGCCAUUGAUACUGAUGAGCUUGAGUAUAGUUGAGGUGGGCGGAAUGUGUCAUGUAGCGGUGAAAUGCUUAGAUAUGACACAGAACACCGAUUGCGAAGGCAGCUCGCUAAACUAUAACUGACGCUGAGGCACGAAAGCGUGGGGAGCGAACAGG
rnacentral:rRNA from 1 species